CCUGUAAUUUCUUCCUUAUAUUUUUUUUUUCUGUGCUCUGUUUUCUUUUUUCCCUUUUGACUGACCUUUCUUUCUCCUUUUUGUAAUGGCUCAAAUUGUUUAAUUUCUAAGGUUCACUUUUAUCCUACCAAGGAAGGGGCCAUAUCAAUGUGGUAAAAUAGGUGGAAAGACAUGUCUGAUUAAAAUAGGUUGAAAGACAGAGUUGCUUGAGUUCAAAAAAGAUGAAUGAUUAUGAAAAAAUGGUGGAAGAUCCCGCAGCUUAUUUCCGUAUUCCUUCCGAAAUUGCUUUGUACAGAUAAUUCUUGAACAGUUAUGAGAUUCUGAAGGUCACACUCUCUUUCUCACACUCACAAGCAUGGACGCACUAUUUAAAUGAAUCAAUUCAUGUGGUAAAUGGGUGAAAUCCCUUGGUUUGAGCAUCUAAAUUGGUUGUUUGUUUAGAUUUUAGUGAUUUAUUUGUGUCAAUUAUUCCUAAUCUUAAUUUUCUAUUUCAUGCUUUCUAUAUUCCUAAUCGUAAUUGGUUGGGUCUGAUCGAUCUUUAGUUCUGGUUCCUCCUUUCAUGUUGUUCAAGUUCUAACAUUACCAUGACUAGCAAAGUGGGCCGUGUGUUAUUUGUUUCGUUACUUACAUCUUCGUUAUAUUACAGGGAACUUAAAUUCUUGAGGUUGGUGAUGAGGAUAUGACAUACUUUUGACGAGGUUUUUUUUUUUUUUUUUUUUCAUUCAGGAUUUAUUUAACUUCUGCACACUUUUUUAGAUACUUCAUUAAUUUUUUGUACGUGUUUUUUGUGGGGUUUUCAGAAACUGCUGGCGUUACUAUAAGGUAUAAUGAAACUCUUCAGUUGCAAAAGUUUGUUUUUAGUUGAUCACUAAAACUUGAUUGGACAUGAUGACAUGAUAUACUCCUAUUUCUUUGUUUGGCUUCUCUUUAAGAGUUUGAAUGUAAAUGAUCCUUGAAAUGGUGAGGGAGUCUUUGAGUUGUUUGUUUUGUUUGUACUAUCUUUGCUUUAUUUCAUUGGUUUCCACUACUUUGAAGUCUAACAUCUAUAAGUGAGUAUUCUUCUUGAUCUGCUGCUGAUCGGCGCGACGAGUGACCACUGGAACCACCACCAUUCGAGGCUCUCACCACGCCCACCUUUGAUAAAUCAGGGUUCGAAUCGAUGGCAUGUAGUUCUUCACCCCAAAAGGUACGAGUACUUCUCAGGUUAGGGUUUCUCUCUCUCCAAGGGAUUUCUUCUCUUUUCGAGCACCAUCAACUGUGGCCGAUCUGUCAGUUUGUUUCUAUUGCACAGGGUCAAGCUUUGUAUAUGGGGAACGACAUGAACAAGUUCUACCCCAUUUUGUUUGGGGAAGAUGUAGCAUCUGCUGAUUCAGAGGAAGAUAGUGCAAGGGUCAAGCUUUGUAUACGGGGAACGGCAUAAACAAGUUCUACCCAAUUGUGUAUGGGGAAGACAUGACAUCUGCUGAUUUAGACGAAGAUAGUGCAAGUCUUUGAUGUCAAGAUGUCUGCAUAGGUUAUAUGGUAUGUGUUAGAACAUGUUGGAAUGCGAAUAUGAAAAGUCCCAUCUCCAGAACUUAAAUUAAAAGAUCAGGGCUUAAUAUUCUUUGUAUGGACCCACCACUUAUGGGCCAUGUGUUGCACGCCCAAAAGACCACCAAUUUGUUGCAGUGGCCAACCUUGCAACGUCGAAAGCUUGUUGAGAUAGAAGUGAAACCACCUCAAACUUCUUUCAUAUCGAGUUGAUUAGGCCUGAGAGAUGGACAAAAGAAAGGAGGGAAAGCAUGGAGAAGCAAGGGCUGUUUUGAGGCGUUCUGAUUGGGAAAAUGGGUCCGAGGUAGCAGAACAAAGUGGCGAUGUCUCACGGGACCAUAAUUCUGAGCUUCUGAUGGGGAGGCCUUCCAUUCCCUGAGCAAUUGCGAUGACAGAUGGCCCCAUGGACUGGAAUAAAGCUCUUGAUAUCAUUUAGCAUGGCUCCCCUGAGCAGUCUAUUGAAGGUAUGAAAUUCAUCUGCAAUGUGCUGGUUCAAGCAACCAACAAGCCUGAAGAUUGUGCGAUGGAUGACAUUGUGAAAGAUGCUAAUAGACUGGUUUCAUGCUUAGCUAAUAAAUGUUCCUAGUUGUGUCAGUUUCUUAUUUGAUAUCAACUCGGUUGGCUUCUUUAUGUUGCAUCUCUCAAAGUCAAAAUCGCAUUAAACUGCAUGAUAUCUGCUGCAGGUUGUCAAGAUAUUUGACUUUAGUAUUGCAGGAGCCACUUCAAGGUCUUGUAAAUAUGUUCUGAACACAUUUAUGCAGACAUUUCAAAAUAAUCGUCUUGUAGAUGCAGUGAAGGAGAGUACCCUUAAUAGUCUUGACACUGUGCUUUUGCUUUGGCUUUUAGAUGAAAGGGUGCCCCACAUGGAUGGCGGCCAACUUCUCAAAGCAUCGAAUGUUUUGAUGUUUAAGAUCCUAGUAAAUAUUGCUUCAUGAUUUGUGGCAUAAUGUUCAUUGUAGUCUGUUGUCUUCUACCAUGUUCAUAUCCCUAUUUUUUUGUAGAAUUGUCGUGUUCCAUGUCUGUAUUCGUGUCUGUGCUACAUAGCCCACAAUUGCUGAAUAGUAUUUAUUUUCUUUA